CCGUCCUCUAGAGUCAUUAAGGACUUUACUUCAGAUAUAAGAUGAAAGAGUCUCACAGAAUCAACAACAAAAACAAUUAGGCCCUUUUAUAGAGAUGAGGAAUACAUGCACACAUGAGAGACCAUUUUUUAUUACUUUUUUCUUGUUCCAUACUUUUCUCACGAAAGACAAAAGCCUAGUCUACAACUGAUAUAAUCAUGCAUAGAAAAAUAGUCAUUGGGUUGAGCUUCUGUAAUGUUUUGAUGCUUGUUCUUUUGGGCAUCUCCUUUGCUUCAAUCAUAUCCUAAUGUAUUGAUCUAAACAUAUUCACUUUUAUUAUUUUAGUCAUUUCAUAAAAGUAAAAAUACUAAUAUCUUAACGCAUAUGGGCUGUUUGGAUGGCAGCUUAUACACUAGCGUUGGUGUCAUUUGGUUGGCAGCUAAAUUUUCUAACCCAUGUCAAAAAAAAUUGUCGCUAGUUCAUUUCCACCCAAUGCUAGAGCUGUUCAUGGUGGCGAAUUUUAUCGCCACUGUAUUGGCCCACCCGCGAUUUGGCGUGGCUGGCCUAGGUGCCAUCCAAACGUCGCCAUAGGCAAUGUAAACUGUUUGGGUCCCUAUUUUUAAUUCACAUGAACUUUGACUAAUAUGGUAUAUAGAAAACAUUAUUGGAAUACAUACUGUAUUUAAGGAAAUACGGAUACAAUAUUU
rnacentral:lncRNA from 1 species